rnacentral:lncRNA from 1 species
UUUGUUUCUUAAAUGUCUUUUGAAAACCGAUAAAUCCACUUAUAUUUUCAGAGAGCAGCAAACCUUGGAAUUAAAUCAUCAUGGAAAUAAAACAAAAAGCAAAAGAAGAUGAGCCAUCCUUAAGGGAAUUCUGGAAGGGUCCAUUGCUACCUGAAAAAGGAAGGUCUACUGAAUCUCUACUAGUAGACACCAUUGAUCUCCACUGAUUUACAAGAAUAAUAAUGUGAAACCAAUGAAAACAUGAUGGCAUGCAGCACAGACGGAAGGUUAGUAGUUUUCACAGUAUUAUAGUCUGAAAUCUACCUGUCUCAAAACAACUUGUCA